UCUCCAGAAACACAUUGACAGAGUCUGUAUAUGCAAAUCAUCUGGGGAGCCCUGGCCAAGAUCUCAGUUAUGGAAACAUUUUAAACAACUCCACCCAUCCUAUUAAUUCAAACAUUUAUAGAGACAUCUGAUUUUGAAUGGGAAAGAUGAAGAGAAGAUUGGAGAGCUCAGGUGAUGGUGUGAAGCAGGAAUCAAUCAGGCUUCGUUCUCUAUUGAGCCCAUAUCAUGCACUGGCCAGGGAUGGGAAUUGGUCAGAAAGGUAGGAGGCCAUGUGUGGGCAGUCUUGCUAGGUACACGAGGUGCUUAAUACUUACUCUAUCUAGCAAAUACAUAAACAGGCCAGUAGAGUGAGCCAGUAGAGUAUAAACCUACAAGUGCCUCUGAGCAGGAGCGUAAUUUAAUGAAGGAGACCUUUCUAAGACAGUAGCAGGCCUGAUGUCUGCCAGGAUGUGUGGUGAGGGUCGGGGGCAGAAAAGGCAAUGGUUGAGUUUAACCCUAGUCACAGACAAUGGGAAUUGGAACUAGAAUGACAGAGGGAAAGGUUUUGGAAACUCUAGAGACAAAAAGAACCUGGCCCUCAGAAGGCAGUCAGUGCAGGGUGAAUGGGAGAGGAUCAGGAGUCCUGGAGGUGAACCAAAAAUCCAAGAUGGCUCCAGGCAGGAAGGGCAGAAUCAGGGGCCACUGUUAGGGAGACCUCUGUACUCCUUGGGGCGUAUAAGCACAGCUUGGGGCACGUCUAGGGAGGAAAUGUUAACCAUUUCAAGUGAAACGUCCAAUAGGAAGUUAGACAUUCACUAGACCUUGGUUGAAAAUAGAACAGGAGAUGCCCAGGUGAAGUACUGAGGGUUUUAUAUUAACCAAGAAGCCUGGCCAGCCAUGCAUGUAGGCUGUAUCUGCCAGCACUCAAUCUGGGUUUGCAAAGGAAGGGGAUACAUUUGUCACAUAUUUUUUUUCCUUUUUUAUUCUAGAAGUAGGAUAUGCAGAUUAAAGUAGCAUAGAAAUAGCAAAUGCAAUUUGAAAUUAGUAAAAUGGCAUCUUUUUAGACUGAACCAAGCUCUCCCAUUGUAUUUUUGAGCAUAAAAGGCUUGCUCCAUAUUGUCUUUUUUGGGUUGCUUUUGGUAAUCAUAAAGAGAUGUGAAUAAAGAAAUGUGAAAGAGCAACAUCCCUUUUUUACUAAACUAAGUAUGACAGAGUAACAACUCUCCACAUGGACUCAGGUUUCCUAACCAGAAGUUCAUGAUCACAGGAAAAAAUCUUUUGAAGAAAAAGGAGUUAUUGAAUGAGUGAUGGAUGUAAUAUAAGUAGGACUGAGGGUCAAAUGAUCAGUGAGCAGAUUUCAGGCAUGUAACUAGGCUCCAGGGUGCUGGUCAAAGGUGGGUUUGUUUAGAAGAGCUGUGAAGGUUGGCUGAAAUUGUCCUUUAAAUUUGACCUUUGCCAGAAUUAGCAUCAGAAAAUUAAGGAAAUGGAGAAAUUAUUUAUACAACAAACACUCUCAUGGCAAUGACCAUAUUUAUGGAUAGUAUUGCUGGCUCAAUUACCAAAGAAAUAUUUCAUGUGAAGAAUAUUUUAAUUCAAAUGGGCCUCACUUAGGGCAGAAAUAAUGGAUAUCCAUUGAGAAAAGUGAGAAAUAAGAUCAAACUAGUUGUAUCCCUUUAAAAUUCUUUUAAAAACAAGUGCAUGGAGUCCUGUGUACGGUUUCACUCUGUCCAAGAGGUUUGAUCUGGUCUUAGGUGACAGAAAUCCUAAUUAUCUGUGAAUUCAUGCUGAGAAAAAUAAG